AUUUAGGUAGCUUAAUAAAAAAGCUUAACAUUGAAAAUGUUUACAUACAUUAAAUUGUCUUAAAUA
rnacentral:tRNA from 1 species